rnacentral:rRNA from 1 species
GAUGAACGCUGGCGGCGUGCUUAACACAUGCCAGUCGAACGGAAAGGCUCCUGCUUGCAGGGGUACUCGAGUGGCGAACGGGUGAGUAACACGUGGGUGAUCUGCCCUGCACUUCGGGAUAAGCCUGGGAAACUGGGUCUAAUACCGGAUAGGACCACAUUUUGGAUGGUGUGGUGGAAAGUUUUUCGGUGUGGGAUGAGCUCGCGGCCUAUCAGCUUGUUGGUGGGGUAAUAGCCUACCAAGGCGUCGACGGGUAGCCGGCCUGAGAGGGUGUACGGCCACAGUGGGAAUGAGAGACGGACCAGACGACGACGGGAGGCAGAAGGGGGGAAGAGUGAACAAGGGGUGCAAGUCGGAUGCAGCGACGCCGAGUGGGGGAGGACGGCCUUCGGGAUGUAAACGCCUAUCGCUAGGGAAGAAGCGCAAGUGACGGUACCUGGAGAAGAAGCACCGGCUAACUACGUG